rnacentral:rRNA from 1 species
UACGUAGGGGGCGAGCGUUGUCCGGAUUUAUUGGGCGUAAAGAGCUCGUAGGCGGUCUGUCGCGUCGGAUGUGAAAACCCAGGGCUCAACUCUGGGCCUGCAUUCGAUACGGGCAGACUAGAGUACGGCAGGGGAGACUGGAAUUCCUGGUGUAGCGGUGAAAUGCGCAGAUAUCAGGAGGAACACCGGUGGCGAAGGCGGGUCUCUGGGCCGUAACUGACGCUGAGGAGCGAAAGCGUGGGGAGCGAACAGG